CGGAGAAAGCGCGGUCCCCGGCGUCCCCCAGCUGGAGCAAUAAGCUCCGUCCACAGUAGGGCCCUCUGGUUUGGGGGACCUCCUCCUUCCAGCCUGAGCUGUGGGGCUGUAGGUCUCCUGCUAAGCCCAGGGGAAUGGGGGAGGGGCCAAACAGGGUAUUAUUUGAUAGGGUUUGAACUGAUCUCUUGCUCCCAAAUUACCUUCCCUACAGACUCUCACAGUGCCUCAAAUUGCACCAUUACGCUUCCAGUCCUUUGAGUCUUGGAGGCGUUGAAGGUUUCCAGAGUCUCCUAGGAAACUGCCAGCACCGUUGGGAGAAGGAACCCCAUAAACUGUUAGCAGCCCACGUCCGCGGUGGGGAUUUGUUGGCCGCCAGCACAAGGAGCGGGCCCCGGGGAACAGGACCCAGGAUGGAGAAAAAAGGCCAAAGAGGGAGAUUGACUUCUACAAAGAGGGCGAUGGAUCCUGCAGAUCGGACUCAUCAACCUGGUUCGUCAAUUUAUUUGUCCAUGCAAUAAGAGUGUGAUAGGCCCGUGUUUUGUGCCAGGCACAGCAGUAUGCUACGCCCUGGGGAGAAGAUGGAGGGUGAAGAGAUGUGGUCCCUGCUUUCCUGGAGCUCACAGUGUUGUGGGGAAAUAGGGGAUGCUGGGAGGAGGGAGCCGGCGAGUGGUCAUCCUCAAAGAGCACCUCACAGUCUCCUGUGAGUGCUCCUGGUUUGCUUCUGUUCUGAACAGAACAAGUUACUGGAGCCGGAAGCUCCAUCUUUUCUAGUAACUCUGCCAUGAAUUAUUGCCUUUUUUUCUAUCCUGCGGAGCCAACCUAGGCAGUCCAGGUUAAAAACCGCAGAAGUCCACUUACUACUCUCUCUCAAGGUAGGACCUGGGAUUUCUUGCUAAGAUGGGCUUCCAGUUCCUCACCAAUUGCUCUAUUCUAGUUCUGCAGACCAAAGACGCCCUGUAGAGAUCUGCCUACUAACCACACCACUUCUGACAUCAAUACAUUUUCUUUAAAGAAACUCUUUUCCCCCCCUCACUCAAUCCCUGGGUUUGGUGAGACUCACCCCCAACCGCCACCAUACUCUUCUCCAGAGGGGGAAAAUGAUCAGGGCUGGACAAUGAGAAUACUCCGUUGUUCUAGACACAAUGAUUGGUUCAGGGGUGGGUCCAUAAGCUAACCAAACAGUUGAGAAUGGUAUCCAGGUCAUUUGUUGCAGUUUACAAUAAAGAGGUAUUCUUUUCUACUGAGUUUGUUGAGCUGAGGGAAUGAUAAGCUUCAGCUACUGGGAGCCAUCUUUGACACCUCAAGCUUGUCUGAGAAUAAGGAGAGCAUAGAGGGAAGCUACGAAAUGGAGAGAGACAGUCCCGAUGACAUAGUUUGAGCACCUUGAUCCAUCCAUGCCUGAAGAUCUGCUUCUGGACUGUUCUGUUAGAAAGAAGGUGAGAACUCUCUACGGGAAGAAAUUCUUUUUGACCCCAGGGAGUGGCCAGACCAGAAUGGAACAGUUGUGAGAUCAAGAUGGGGAGUUGUGGGACCGAGAUAGAUCCUAAGGCAAGGGUGAUGCUGGACUGAGCCCCUGGAUGAGAAGAGAAGGCCCCCUUCCAGCCAAUAUCCUAGUGAAGAAACAUUUGUAACCCACCGGGUACCCGUGUGCCUGAGUUAAGUGUUCGGUUGCGUUGAGCAGUUAUUAAACUCUUACAGCAUU